rnacentral:rRNA from 1 species
CCUACGGGCGGCAGCAGUGGGGAAUAUUGCACAAUGGGCGCAAGCCUGAUGCAGCCAUGCCGCGUGUAUGAAGAAGGCCUUCGGGUUGUAAAGUACUUUCAGUCGUGAGGAAGGUGUUAAGGUUAAUAACCUUAGCAAUUGACGUUAGCGACAGAAGAAGCACCGGCUAACUCCGUGCCAGCAGCCGCGGUAAUACGGAGGGUGCGAGCGUUAAUCGGAAUUACUGGGCGUAAAGGGCACGCAGGCGGUUAAUUAGUUUGGAGGGGAAAUCCCCGGGCUUAACCUGGGAAUGGCAUUCAAGACUGGUGAGCGAGAGUCUGGUAGGGGGGGGUAGAAUUCCAUGUGUAGCGGUGAAAUGCGGAGAGAUGGGGAGGAAUACCGGGGGCGAGGGCGGCACCCUGGACAAAGACUGACGCUCAUGUGCGAAAGCGUGGGGAGAAAACAGGAUUAGAUACCCUGGUAGUC